CAUGUUGAAUUGCAGUCCCCCAAUGUUGGAAGUGGGGCCUGGUGGGAGGUGAUUAGAUCAUAGGGGUGGAUUUCUCAUGAAUGGUUCAGCACCAUCCUCUUGAUGCUGUCCUUACAAUAAUGAGUUAUCAUGCAAUCUCGUUGUUUAAAAGUAUGUGACACCUUCCCCUCUCUCUCCCUCUUGUUUUUGCUGUGUGACUUACAAGCUUCUGCUUCACCUUCCACCAUGAUUGUAAGCUUCCAGAGGCUUCCCCAGAAGGAGAUGCCAACUCCAUGCUUCUUGUGCAGCCUGCAGCACCGAACAAAUUGCUUUCCACUCGUAAAAGCCACCCAUGAAAUCCUGGAAGCCUUCUCAAAAUGUAUGUGUCUCUAAAAUUGUUACUGGGAUGAUCAAGUCUCCAUUCCUUCAGAAUUCUUUCUUGGUUCUCCAAUUUUUGGAAUUUCAAUCAGGUGAUACCAGACGGGACUAGUCCCUCCUGACUUUUCCAAAGAGGACCUUCUGUUUUCACUGAAAGAUUCUAAAAUUCUAUACAAAAUCUGUUAUUGAUGCUAAAGAAUUAACCAAAGAACAAUUUCAAGCUUGAAUGUGAGUUGAGCCAGGCAGUGUAGGAAACUGAAUAACGGUCACCUACAGAUAUGAAGUCCUAAUCCCUGGAACUUGUAAAUGUUACCUUAUUUAGAAAAUGGGUCCUUGGGCCGGGUGCCUGUAAUCCCAGCACUUUGGGAGGCCAAGGCAGGUGGAUCACCUGAGGUCAGGAGUUCAAGACCAGCCUGGCCAACAUGGUGGAACCCCAUCUCUACUAAAAAUACAAAAAUUAGCUGGGCAUGAUGGUAGGUGCCUGCAAUCUCACCUACUCAGGAGGCUGAAGCGGGA
rnacentral:lncRNA from 1 species